rnacentral:rRNA from 1 species
GAACCGUCCAAACGUUAUUCGGAAUCACUGGGCUUAAAGGGUGCGCAGGCGGUCCGGAAAGUUGGGUGUGAAAGCCCUCGGCUCAACCGAGGAAUUGCGCCCAAAACUGCCGGACUCGAGGGAGACAGAGGUGAGCGGAACUUGCGGUGGAGCGGUGAAAUGCGUUGAUAUCGCAAGGAACACCAGAAGCGAAAGCGGCUCACUGGGUCUCUUCUGACGCUCAGGCACGAAAGCUAGGGGAGCGAACGGGGAUUAGAUACCCCGGUAGUCCUAGCUGUAAACGAUGAGCACCCUGGUUGGAGGCUCCCUCCAUAGGCUUCCCAGCCGUAGCGAAAGUGUUAAGUGCUCCGCCUGGGGAGUAUGGUCGCAAGGCUG